rnacentral:rRNA from 1 species
UGGGGAAUAUUGGACAAUGGGCGCAAGCCUGAUCCAGCAAUGCCGCGUGUGUGAAGAAGGCCUGCGGGUUGUAAAGCACUUUAAGCAGGAAAGAAGGGGUGGGAGAUAAUACCUUUCAUCAUUGACGUUACCUGCAGAAUAAGCACCGGCUAACUCCGUGCCAGCAGCCGCGGUAAUACGGAGGGUGCGAGCGUUAAUCGGAAUUACUGGGCGUAAAGCGCGCGUAGGCGGUUUGAUGAGUCCGUCGUGAAAGCCCUGGGCUUAACCUGGGAAUUGCGGUGGAUACUGUCAAGCUAGAGUGUGGUAGAGGGGAGUGGAAUUUCCGGUGUAGCAGUGAAAUGCGUAGAGAUCGGAAGGAACACCAGUGGCGAAGGCGGCUCCCUGGACCAACACUGACGCUGAGGUGCGAAAGCGUGGGGAGCAAACAGG